rnacentral:ncRNA from 1 species
GUUACGGCGCCCGAUGCGAGACGCUCAUGAGACCCCAUGAAAGGUGUUGGUUGCUCUAGACAGCAGGACGGUGGCCAUGGAAGUCGGAAUCCGCUAAGGAGUGUGUAACAACUCACCUGCCGAAGCAACUAGCCCUGAAAACCCUUAUGUAAGGAACGGAGGC